UGCAGUCGACGAUGAUGCCCAGCUUGCUGGGUUGAUUAGUGGCGAACGGGUGAGUAACACGUGAGUAACCUGCCCCUGACUCUGGGAUAAGCGUUGGAAACGACGUCUAAUACUGGAUAUGAUCGCCGGCCGCAUGGUCUGGUGGUGGAAAGAUUUUUUGGUUGGGGAUGGACUCGCGGCCUAUCAGCUUGUUGGUGAGGUAAUGGCUCACCAAGGCGACGACGGGUAGCCGGCCUGAGAGGGUGACCGGCCACACUGGGACUGAGACACGGCCCAGACUCCUACGGGAGGCAGCAGUGGGGAAUAUUGCACAAUGGGCGAAAGCCUGAUGCAGCAACGCCGCGUGAGGGAUGACGGCCUUCGGGUUGUAAACCUCUUUUAGUAGGGAAGAAGCGAAAGUGACGGUACCUGCAGAAAAAGCACCGGCUAACUACGUGCCAGCAGCCGCGGUAAUACGUAGGGUGCAAGCGUUGUCCGGAAUUAUUGGGCGUAAAGAGCUCGUAGGCGGUUUGUCGCGUCUGCUGUGAAAUCCCGAGGCUCAACCUCGGGCUUGCAGUGGGUACGGGCAGACUAGAGUGCGGUAGGGGAGAUUGGAAUUCCUGGUGUAGCGGUGGAAUGCGCAGAUAUCAGGAGGAACACCGAUGGCGAAGGCAGAUCUCUGGGCCGUAACUGACGCUGAGGAGCGAAAGCAUGGGGAGCGAACAGGAUUAGAUACCCUGGUAGUCCAUGCCGUAAACGUUGGGCGCUAGAUGUAGGGACCUUUCCACGGUUUCUGUGUCGUAGCUAACGCAUUAA
rnacentral:rRNA from 1 species